AACUCCCUGUUCCUCCACCGAGGUCAAUUUGUGAAUGCACACAUGACUUCACAAUCACUCCAGGGAAGCAUAUUUCUGUGGUCACCAUCAAUGGACGAUACGAUGUCUGCUUGCCUCGGAGAUCCUGUUCAUCAUGCUCUGCAGAAUGGACUCCCGAGGUGAAGGACCUGCUCAUUUAUCGGUACUGGCCAGCUAGCACCAGCUGCCAGACCCUGUACAAGUUUGAUGUCUUCACCUCUUUUGAACAUAUGAAGGUGACGGCACCAGCCAUGUCCAGGCAGGCCUUCCUGAAAAUGUUGGAGCACAGAUCUGUUGAAGCUGGAAGGACAGGUAGUAUCUGUGCUGAUACAUUUUCAGCGAAGCUUUGUUUGAGUUUACCUUCUGUCAAUACAAAGAAGAGGAUAUGUGCCAGGUCCAUCAUUUUGAGUGUCCAGCAUGUUCUCCAGACAUGUUGGCUGUCUGCUCUGAUGGGAACCGAAAACAUUACCGCUUCAGCAAGUCAAAAGGGACUGAGGAGCCACCCAUAUAUGAGGG